rnacentral:rRNA from 1 species
CGUGGAGCGAUUUGUCUGGUUUAUUCCGAUAACGAGCGAGACUCUAGCCUACUAAAUAGUUGACACAUUACAUUGUGUGUCCUAACUUCUUAGAGGGAUUUACGGCGUAUAGCCGCAAGAGAAUGAGCAAUAACAGGUCUGUGAUGCCCUUAGAUGUCCAGGGCUGCACGCGCGCUACACUGGAGGAAUCAGCGUGCUGUAACCAUUGCCGAAAGGUAUUGGUAACCCCUUGAAAAUCCUCCGUGAUCGGGAUCGGGAAUUGCAAUUAUUUCCCUUGAACGAGGAAUUCCUAGUAAGUGUGAGUCAUCAGCUCACGUUGAAUACGUCCCUGCCCUUUGUAC